GAAAAAGUACGCAAGAACUGCUAAUUCUACGCCCCCAUACCUAACAGUAUGGCUUUUUCA
rnacentral:tRNA from 1 species